rnacentral:lncRNA from 1 species
AUGAUUCUCGACAGGAUGAUUGUUAAGAGGAUAAUGAGAUGGAGUUUUCCACCUUAUUCAAUCGCCAAGGAGACGUUAACCACAUCAUGUGUUGUUCGAUGUUAGGGUAACCCGUUGCAGAGACGACCCAUUUGUUUCCAUCCAUCUCCCGUUAGAGGACAGUGGCCCUACAACGGUGAUUAUGAGAGAUUCGUGGUUUCUUAAGAAGGCGGUAGCUCCAGGAGGCAGAAAGAUUGAAUUGAUCCCUAGUUAUGGCAAUCAUGUAGCUUUGAAACUAUGGGAUGAGAUGUUGAUGAGCCUCCAUCGUUGUUCCAUGGUGUGAUAUGUUUGUUUGGAUUAGAUUUAGCUUGCCAUUAUGCUUAACAUAUAAUUUUCAAACAUUUAUGUUUCUGUUAAUUGUAUGGACAGUACUUAUAUGAUUUUGUUCCUCAUUCAUUACUCAUGCGAUU